ACAUUUUUACCAACAUCAUUUGAGUGUUCCCCUUUCUCCACAUCUUUGCCAGCAUUCUCUAUUACCCGGCUUUUGGAUAAAAGACAUCGUAACUGGGUCCUGCACUCAGCCCUCACAUCGGAUUCUAGUCACUGACCAUUGAUCAGCUCCCUCGUCAGACACGAGCCACAAUUUGUCUUCAGAUAGCAGCACUCUCAGAUCUACAGAAGCACCAGGAACCCCUCGGUGGUGUUCUCACGGCUCGAAUUUACCUUGCAAAUCUUGGAAGUAACCUAAACACAUUCUGUUCCUUCUAGAAAAUGUCAAUCCUGAAGUUUAAAUAAUCACCUGAACCCUUUCUACUCUGUUCAUUCCCAUAUUGUUCUCUGAGCCCUACCAGAUUUCUUGCAUUCCUAGCAGAAACAAUGGAGUGCAAAUGAAUCAAUGAUUCUACCCAUGUGUUUAAAGAAAUAGUCAAAACAUAGAGGCUUCUCCCUUCCACUCUGCCAGCUCCCCCCUCUCCCUACCCUACCACUGGCAGAGGCAGGAGAUUUUUCUUUCCUUGCUGCACAGUUGCAA
rnacentral:lncRNA from 10 species